rnacentral:rRNA from 1 species
UACAGAGGUGGCAAGCGUUGUUCGGAAUUACUGGGCGUAAAGGGCGCGUAGGCGGUCUUGUAAGUCCUGUGUGAAAUCCCUCGGCUCAACUGAGGAACUGCACGGGAAACUGCUUGGCUUGAGUUCGGGAGAGGGAAGCGGAAUUCCGGGUGUAGCGGUGAAAUGCGUAGAUAUCAAGAGGAACACCUGAGGCGAAGGCGGGUUGCUAGGCUGACACUGACGCUGAGUGCGCGAAAGCCAGGGGAGCAAACGGG